GACGAACGCUGGCGGCGUGCCUAAUACAUGCAAGUCGAACGCACUCUCGUUUAGAUUGAAGGAGCUUGCUCCUGAUUGAUAAACAUUUGAGUGAGUGGCGGACGGGUGAGUAACACGUGGGUAACCUGCCCUAAAGUGGGGGAUAACAUUUGGAAACAGAUGCUAAUACCGCAUAAAACCUAACACCGCAUGGUGUAGGGUUGAAAGAUGGUUUCGGCUAUCACUUUAGGAUGGACCCGCGGUGCAUUAGUUAGUUGGUGAGGUAAAGGCUCACCAAGACCGUGAUGCAUAGCCGACCUGAGAGGGUAAUCGGCCACACUGGGACUGAGACACGGCCCAGACUCCUACGGGAGGCAGCAGUAGGGAAUCUUCCACAAUGGACGAAAGUCUGAUGGAGCAACGCCGCGUGAGUGAAGAAGGUUUUCGGAUCGUAAACUCUGUUGUUGGAGUAAGAAUGUAUCUGAUAGUAACUGAUCAGGUAGUGACGGUAUCCGAACCAGAAAGCCACGG
rnacentral:rRNA from 1 species